CAGUAGCCGCGGUAAUACGGAGGAUCCAAGCGUUAUCCGGAAUCAUUGGGUUUAAAGGGUCCGUAGGCGGUUUAGUAAGCCAGUGGUGAAAGCCCAUCGCUCAACGGUGGAACGGCCAUUGAUACUGCUGAACUUGAAUUAUUAGGAAGUAACUAGAAUAUGUAGUGUAGCGGUGAAAUGCUUAGAGAUUACAUGGAAUACCAAUUGCGAAGGCAGGUUACUACUAAUUGAUUGACGCUGACGGACGAAAGCGUGGGGAGCGAACAGGAUUAGAUACCCCUGUAGUCCCUGUCUCUUAUAC
rnacentral:rRNA from 1 species